AUACAGAGGGUGCGAGCGUUAAUCGGAUUUACUGGGCGUAAAGCGUGCGUAGGCGGCUUCUUAAGUCGGAUGUGAAAUCCCUGAGCUUAACUUAGGAAUUGCAUUCGAUACUGGGAAGCUAGAGUAUGGGAGAGGAUGGUAGAAUUCCAGGUGUAGCGGUGAAAUGCGUAGAGAUCUGGAGGAAUACCGAUGGCGAAGGCAGCCAUCUGGCCUAAUACUGACGCUGAGGUACGAAAGCAUGGGGAGCAAACAGGAUUAGAUACCCAGGUAGUCCAUGCCGUAAACGAUGUCUACUAGCCGUUGGGGCCUUUGAGGCUUUAGUGGCGCAGCUAACGCGAUAAGUAGACCGCCUGGGGAGUACGGUCGCAAGACUAAA
rnacentral:rRNA from 1 species